AUUGAACGCUGGUGGCAGGCUUAACACAUGCAAGUCGAACGGUAACAGGAAUUCGCUUGCUAAUUUGCUGACGAGUGGCGGACGGGUGAGUAAUGCUUGGGAAUCUGGCUUAUGGAGGGGGAUAACUACGGGAAACUGUAGCUAAUACCGCGUAAAAUCUUCGGAUUAAAGGGUGGGACUUUCGAGCCACCUGCCAUAAGAUGAGCCCAAGUGGGAUUAGGUAGUUGGUUAGGUAAAGGCUGACCAAGCCGACGAUCUCUAGCUGGUCUGAGAGGAUGACCAGCCACACUGGAACUGAGACACGGUCCAGACUCCUACGGGAGGCAGCAGUGGGGAAUAUUGCACAAUGGGGGGAACCCUGAUGCAGCCAUGCCGCGUGAAUGAAGAAGGCCUUCGGGUUGUAAAGUUCUUUCGGUGACGAGGAAGGUUGAUAGGUUAAUAGCCUAUCAAAUUGACGUUAAUCACAGAAGAAGCACCGGCUAACUCCGUG
rnacentral:rRNA from 1 species